rnacentral:rRNA from 1 species
GAUGAACGCUGGCGGCGUGCCUAAUACAUGCAAGUCGAGCGAACAGACGAGGAGCUUGCUCCUCUAACGUUAGCGGCGGACGGGUGAGUAACACGUGGAUAACCUACCUAUAAGACUGGGAUAACUUCGGGAAACCGGAGCUAAUACCGGAUAAUAUAUUGAACCGCAUGGUUCAAUAGUGAAAGACGGUGUUGCGGUCACUUAUAGAUGGAUCCGCGCCGCAUUAGCUAGUUGGUAAGGUAACAGCUUACCAAGGCAACGAGGCGUAGCCGACCUGAGAGGCUGAUCGGCCACACUGGAACUUAGACACGGUCCAGACUCCUACGGGAGGCAGCAGUAGGCAAUCUUCCGCAAUGGGCGAAAGCCUGACGGAGCAACGCCGCGUGAGUGAUGAAGGUCUUCGGAUCGUAAAACUCUGUUAUUAGGGAAGAACAACUGUGUAAGUAACUAUGCACGUCUUGACGGUACCUAAUCAGAAAGCCACGGCUAACUACGUG